CUUUGGGAGGCUGAGGUGGGCAGAUCACCUGAGGUGCUGGUGUAUUUAAAAUACAGUUGUUUUUAUAUGUUUCAGUUUAAUUUCCCCUCCUUCCCAUCCUUAUUGAUUUAACUUUUUCAAAAGUUGAAACUACAUGGAAAAGUAGGUUUAGACAAAUUUCAGUCACUCCCAUGUCCUUUCUGUCUUAUUUUCCCUGCUUUUGAUGACAAUCAACUAUAUUGAUUUCUGGUUUACCCUUCAUAUGUUUCAUAUAUGUGUGUUUCCUUAUUUCCUCUUUUUCUUCUAAUAUGUGCUCUUUUGUGCUUCAGAUAGUAUUAAGAUUUUUAAAC